UGGUUGGAGCACCCCUGCAGGGUUAAAUCUUUCGGAAAGCCGUGCCCGCGGUUAUGUGGCAACGUGGAAACUUUGUUUAACACUGGUUCUAGAUAACUUGAAGUAACUUAAUUAAAACAUGCCAACUAAGUGCGUAACCGUGACUGUCUCUUUCGUGAGUUCCUUCUCCGAUUGAGGACACGGUGGGGUUAUGUCUGACGUAGGUAGGUGUUCAGGAUCAUUUAUUUGAUCAC
rnacentral:lncRNA from 1 species